rnacentral:lncRNA from 1 species
UAUAACUUGCCCAGGGGCAGUCAAGCCUGGGUUUGAGAUUCCAGCACCUUAACUCUUUAACUUAGGUGCCAGGGCCGAGAGGUAAGCCCCAUCUCCCUCCUCCUUCCUCCCAGGUGCCCGCGUCUCUCCACAGCCCUUUCUCUAUCUCCUACCCCAGGAGGCCCCCCAGAGGGCUGUUCUUGUUAAGGCCCACCCUCGGAGCACGAACACGGCUGAGGACAUGUGUCUGUGUACGUAGUGGCAUAUGCAUGUGUAAUUGUGCUUGUACAAGUGUGUAGCUGUGGGUAUCACAGGGUGAAGGCUGGUUCAGGUCAGGGCAUUCUCACAGCCCCUGUUUCCUGCAGGGUUGACAGUGAUGAGGAUGGUGAUUUGACUGAUGAUAAAUGCCUGUGAUAUCUGUGACCGAUCAUGAUGGAGAUAUGUAGGAAGUGUGUGGUUGACACGUGUCAGGUGACGUUGUC